rnacentral:rRNA from 1 species
AACGAACGCUGGCGGCAUGCCUAACACAUGCAAGUCGAACGAGACCUUCGGGUCUAGUGGCGCACGGGUGCGUAACGCGGGGGAACCUGCCCUUAGGUUCGGAAUAACUCCCCGAAAGGGGUGCUAAUACCGGAUAAUGUCUUCCGACCAAAGAUUUAUCGCCUUUGGAUGGGCCCGCGUUGGAUUAGCUAGUUGGUAGGGUAAAAGCCUACCAAGGCGACGUUCCAUAGCUGGUCUGAGAGGAUGAUCAGCCACACUGGGACUGAGACACGGCCCAGACUCCUACGGGAGGCAGCAGUGGGGAAUAUUGGACAAUGGGCGAAAGCCUGAUCCAGCAAUGCCGCGUGAGUGAUGAAGGCCUUAGGGUUGUAAAGCUCUUUUACCCGGGAUGAUAAUGACAGUACCGGGAGAAUAAGCGCCGGCUAACUCCGUG